rnacentral:rRNA from 1 species
CAGUAGCCACGGUAAUACGGAGGGGGCUAGCGUUGUUCGGAAUUACUGGGCGUAAAGCGCACGUAGGCGGCUUUGUAAGCUAGAGGUGAAAGCCCGGAGCUCAACUCCGGAAUUGCCUUUAAGACUGCAGAGCUAGCAGGUGAGAGAGGUGAGUGGAAUUCCGAGUGUAGAGGUGAAAUUCGUAGAUAUUCGGAAGAACACCAGUGGCGAAGGCGGCUCACUGGCUCAUAUUGGACGCUGAGGUGCGAAAGCGUGGGGAGCAAACAGGAUUAGAUACCCCCGUAGUCCCUGUCUCUUAUAC